rnacentral:rRNA from 1 species
GAUGAACGCUGGCGGCGUGCCUAAUACAUGCAAGUCGAGCGAACAGAUGAGGAGCUUGCUCCUCUGACGUUAGCGGCGGACGGGUGAGUAACACGUGGAUAACCUACCUAUAAGACUGGGAUAACUUCGGGAAACCGGAGCUAAUACCGGAUAAUAUAUUGAACCGCAUGGUUCAAUAGUGAAAGACGGUUUUGCUGUCACUUAUAGAUGGAUCCGCGCCGCAUUAGCUAGUUGGUAAGGUAACGGCUUACCAAGGCAACGAUGCGUAGCCGACCUGAGAGGGUGAUCGGCCACACUGGAACUGAGACACGGUCCAGACUCCUACGGGAGGCAGCAGUAGGGAAUCUUCCGCAAUGGGCGAAAGCCUGACGAAGCAACGCCGCGUGAGUGAUGAAGGUCUUCGGAUCGUAAAACUCUGUUAUUGGGGAAGAACAAAUGUGUAAGUAACUAUGCACGUCUUGACGGUACCUAAUCAGAAAGCCACGGCUAACUACGUG